CGACGGCAGCUUCUCUUCUUUCUUCUUUCUCUGUCUUUCAAAACAUAGCAGCAUCAAUCGAUGUCAAGAGCUUUUCUUUGCUUUUGUCCUCUGGACAAAACUCCAUUCUUUUUAUGAGACCCAGAGGUCUCCCCUCAAUUUCUGGCAUUUGAUUGUACUUGGAAGAGAUUGUAAUCUCAAUUGGAGGGUCCGGAUUUUUCCUUCUGCAGAGUGGCUGCUUAGGAUUUGAUGGACGAUGGGCUCGAGACAGAAAAGGGCUGGUAAUCUUCUUCCCCUUCCACUCCCGGUUUCUCCCAGUUUUCCCUCUUGUUCUUCUUCAUCUUCCUCCCUCCCUCGAGUAGUUAGGGCUAAUUUUUUCUGUUUUCCUAUCAUUUUCCUGAUAUUUCUAUUUCAUUGGCUAAAAGCAGCAAAUCUUUUUUUUUUCUCUCAUCUCUGUCGUGUCCUUUUGUGAAACAGUAAGGACAGGGAAGGUCAAUAUUUCAUCUCCACUAUCUGAUGUGAAUUUCUAGAAUGCAGAUAUAUGGUACUUUUCUUCCCCUUUCUUUCCAUGAUUAAUGUCUCUGUUUCAUUUCUGUUUUAUCAUUGAUUUUUAAUUUUUAAUCAGAAGAAAAACUUUUAAUAUGGUCUGAGAUGAUGAAUAAUUGAUGAUUAGCUAGCUUUUAGAUAUUUAUUUACUUUCUUUUUUGUAUCUAUUUGGUGAUUUAUUGUUCCAUUUUUCGUUUUUGUCUUGGAUUUCUUCUGGAGUUCGGAGGAAAAAUGGCCACUUGUGAAAAACAACUGGUGAGUGAAAAUGUAAGUUUGCUGCAUCAAUCUGAUUUAAUUUUUCCCUCUUCCACGCCUGGUUUAGGAUUUGAUGGAUGAUUUUUUUUCCAUUUUUUUUGUUCUUUUGGUGCUACUUUUCCAAGUAUAUUAUUGGUUGUUGUUACAGGAAGGAAUAUGAAAACUUGAAGUUGACAUCUCUAAGAAGUAGUUAAAGCUGGUAAUAUUUAUUUGUGUUCUACUAUUUAUACUAUAAACCAUAGUCUUUUUCUGUAAAUGGUUUCUCUCACCUAAUUUAGCCUAUUUUUGUUUAUUGAGGUUGUUGUCAGAGAAAGGAUAAAGGUAAAAGUGAUUGGAAGAAUGAGCAAAUUUCUUCCGGUGUUUUGUGUUUUGGGUUUUAUUGUGUUUGUCAAAGUAAAUUAGAUACAGUAUCUUUUUCUUCUGUAUCUUCUUUUUUUCCCUUGGCUGGCAAACAUAAUGAAUCUGUUAUAUAAACUACUUGGUAUUCUUCGUAAUGUCAAGAUUUGGGAAGCUGUAUGAUGAAAUCUUUAUUUCAUAGUCGAUUUUUCUGGUUUUGUGGUUUUAACGUGCAAAGUGAAAUCAUUAUUAUGACUAACUUCCUUGAGGAUGUUUUGAUCAGUUCAUGAUUCAUGAGAUACAUAGUUAUAUGGAUUACAUAAAUGGAGUUUCAAAAGCAAAAUCCAUUUAAUCUACUAUGAAGAUACCAUCUUUCCUCUUUUAAAUUACUAAAAAAACUUGGCUCGAUCUUUGACUGGAAAAAUUAUGUUCAGAAAAUAGUAUUCCUGUGCGUCACACAAUUGACAUUUGAUGUUGGACCCAAUAUUGCAUUUAAAAAAAAAAAAGAAAAAUUGGAAAAUAAUGCAUAGGAACUUCUCUAGAAUUUGCUUCCAUAUAUAUGUACAAUGUUUUGUUCCCUUUGGGGAAAUUUCAUCAGUGACAUUAUUUUUAUUGAUUGAUUUCUGUUGGUAAGACCAGCUUUUAUACUCUCUCAAUAGAUUUCUUCUCUUGUUUCUGUUAUCGCCAUUUUUUUUUGUGGAUUCUUCUUUCUUCUAAGCAACUUUAAAGGUUCUUUUCUUUAUAUGAAUAUGUUAUUAUUGGGGUACAUCUAAUCCUAAUCCUACUUCUGUAGCAGGAAAUGACCAUACAUUGGGUUUUGUUACUGGUGGGUCUGCUCAUGUUCAAAUGCAACUUAGCACCAAAGAGUGUGAGAGUCUGGGAUUAACUGGUCUGGCUCUCUGCUUAGACUGCAACACCUUUGCUGAGUAUGUCAAGGACCAAGGUUGUACCUUUAUUAUAUGAAUUUUGUUGAUCCUCAGAUAUUUAUGGUUUUUGGUGGAUUUUACUUCUGGGUUUUGAUGGGUUUUUUGAAUUGAUUACUUGCUGGUAAGUACAUGGGUUGUAAAAUGGUAAUAUUUGGGAUUCUUGUUUCUGUACUAUAGCUGAUUGGUUGUCAAAAUUAACGAAUAGUGGGAGAUAGAUGCAAUUCUUAUUGCUUUUAGUUGAUUUAAGGUCUGGGUUUUUUUUUGUUUGGAUUUAUGAAUUGCUUAUUUAUAUGUGAGAUGUCAAUGGUGAUAAUUUGGAAGGAGAACUUGAAAAAGGCUAUGUUUUUAUACAAAUCAGAUCGAGAGACUAUGCUUAUAACAGUAAAUAAGUGUAUUUUGACUUUUGUUGUUUUCACUAUAAUUUUUUGUGAUUAAGUUUUGUCAAAAUAUGGAUGGGUAAAUAGUAUUUUGGAAGAUUUCUCUUUUUUCUUUUUGUACCUCAGAUAGCUUAAGGAUAAUUGCAGAAAUCGAAAUAAGAUCCUCAUUGGGAUUCUUAAAUUAUCUCAUGCAAUUAGUGGCGUUAAAUUGUAAUCUGUAGAAUUCCAAGUAACUAGCCUGGAUUAUGGUGAUGGUUCAGUUUUGUUGCUCUUGAGGAUGUUUUGCACCUGAGCUGACGAUGAUCAAGGCAUGCAAGAACAAUAGUUCUACGAUCAUGAUUUCCUAAGUUACGACUUGUAGUUCAUUAUAUUUGAUGAUUAGGACCAUACGCAUUAAAUUGGAAUAUUCUAUUGGCAUCCUUUAUUGUACCAAAUGAAGUACUAUCAAGACAAAUUCUGAAUGGAAAUAUGCCAUUUUUUGAAACCUAUACCAGAGAACCCUUAUUCUUCAACCCUUUUACAUCCAUUCUGGUGAAUUUGAAAAAUUUAAAUAGCUGAAACUUGUGUAACAGAAUUCAUCAAUUAUAUAAUGACUUAGAUUUGUUAAAGAAUUUUGGAUUGUAAGAUUACAAUAAACUUUUUGAACAUUCUGCAAUAAUUUACUUAAGAGGAAGAAAAUUGCUCAUGUCGUCAAGAAAUCCUGGAUGUUUGACAAGAUCUGCAUUUAACAUAUCCAGUUUAGAUGGCAACUUAUAUAGAUUUCUGUAUAAUAUUGGAAUGAUCUUUUUUAGCAUUCCGCAAAUAAUAUACUAAGUAGAAUAUGAUAAUCUGGAAAAUCCGAUGUUUGAAAAGACUCCGGAUGCAGUUUAGAUUUGUCAGUGCCUCUCAGAAAUCUGCCCCUUGGCUUUACCUUAGGCUUAGAGAUGGCUUGCUGGAUUGGUCUAUUUUUAUCUAUUGAUUUUCAUUGUGAAUUUUUGUGUCCAAAGCUUGGUUUUGACUUUCUUGGUUUUGCAUCUGCAUCACCGCAUGAAGCUGCAGCCGGGGAAAACUUCAUUGACAGAGUUUUCAUUAUGGGUCUAUAGAGACUGCAUUUUGGAGAUCUCUUUUGUAUGUGGAUAGGAUUAUAUGUUAUUUUAAAGUUUCUUUUAUGCAAAAAAAAAAAGGAAAAAGAAAAAGAAAAAAAGAUGUUAAAUUUGUUGUAUGUUGUUGACGUAAAACAUAUCUUGCAUCUGAAAUAUUUUCAUUGUGUAAUUAUUUGAUUUGGUUUUUCAAAACUCAUUCAUUGUCGUAAUAAGAUUUUAGACACGAGAUAAUGGCUUGUUUCUCUUAUCAGUUAUAUGUAGAUCUUUAGUCCACCAUUAUCAGUUAUAACUACGUGAUUUAUAGGCUAAAAUGCAUAUGUUGUUUUUUAUUUUCUGUUCUUUAUUUGUAUACCUAGCAUUCAUGUUUGAGAAAAAAUUGAUUGGCAGGAGGUAUUUAUCCGAAUAAGAUGGUGGCUCAAAAUGCGUGGCUCAAAAUGCAUCUGCUGUUUAUUGGCUUUCUAUUCUUUAUUUAUAUAUCCAACAUUAAUGUUUGACAAAAAGUUGAAUGGCAAGAGGUAUUAUUCAAAUAUAAUGGUGGCUCAAACUUAGGAGUAGGGAAUAUGUUCUUGACGACUUUGUUUAUAUUUCAUGUUUUAUUAUUUCCUUACAAUUUUGCAAUGAAGUGUGGCAAAAACUACGGGUGCGUUACCUGUGAUUUAACAAGAUUGUCAUUAUACUAUUUACACAAAAUGUUAUUAAAUUCUAAUAUGAUUCCUUCUUGGCAGAUCUGAUUGAUAUUUGGAUAGCUGGAACUUGGAAGCUAAUGGAAGCUUAUGGAGUUUUGUCAUGAAUGCUUGAUACUUUGUUUUAUCCUUUCCAAUAUCUUUACCAGAAGUCAUUAGUUACUUCAACAGCCACUUGCUAUAGUAGAGAUAUCAAACUUUGUGAUGCUUUUUUUUUUUUUAAUUUUGACCACUAAUACAUAGUUCCACUAUAAUUGGCUGAUUGAACGCGACGGAAGAUAAGAAAGACGAGAGGCAUUUCUAGAAAUAGCAGUCAAUAUUUCUGGAUGAAUGUAUCUUAUAUCUUAAAUUGUAACUUUUCACAGGUAAUGAGGUGCAUCGUACAGUUGGUGAGCUUAUCUCAAUUAUGUGUUAUUAUGCUCUUCAACUUUAUUAGUGUUAUUUCUUUUCUUAAUUGAAAUGUUGACAAAAUACUUCAUUAUCUACCACAUAUAGAAAAUGAUAAAAAAAUAAUUUAUGGUUGGAAAAAUAAAGCCAAUGAGGGCUCUGGUCGUUUUAGCCUUUUAACUUCCCACUGGGCAUGUUAAACUUGUAACUUCACACCGCGCAUGGUGCGGUGUUCCUCUCCUAGUAUAAUAAAGUGUAAAAUACACAAAACCCCCUUAUGGUUAGGUCUAAGGUCAUGAGAUCUCUCUAUUAUUUAAAAAUAACUAGAAGACCCCAUUUUGGUUGGGACUUAUUUGGGAAAUGAACAAAAACUAUGCAAAUAAUAGAGAGUGAACUGUACACUCUUGAUACGCAAGUAUGGAUGACAAUGUAAGAUGGUAAUUUGAUGUUGAUUUUACUUUACUUUUUUUUCUUUUUGUUUUCUUUUCUUCUUUUUUAUUUCUAAUUUUGCCCUUGUUUCAGCAAACUAGAAUCCCAUGAGCAAAAAUAUAGUUGUGCGACCAUCGGCCCAUUCGGCCACCACUGUGUCGGCUGCGACGGCUACUAUCGAAACUUUAUCAAAUAUGCAUCCCGAGCUCUAUUUGUGGUGCAGAUUUAUUUCCGGUGUCCAAUUUGGUCAAAAAAUGGAACAAAAAGUAGUAAAAUAGGUUUAGAAUCGAAAUGGAUCUAACCCUCUUUGUACCCUCAAAUCACAACCAAAUCUUGUACAAUUUAGUACUAAGAUGAUCUUCAAGAGCCAUCAUAUAGAUAUGUAUCAUCAAUUUUACACGAAAAUGCAUGAAAAUUCUUGAAUUUAUAUUGAGAUAUAACAGUAAUAGAGAUGACGAUAAAAAUGUACACGACAACAAUGGCGAGAAGGUGACGGUAGUGGCAAGCAAAUUGUUGGUUUGAUUGACAGAUGGAAGUGAUAGGGUGUAAUUUCGCUAUUUAUUUUAUUAUUAAUUUUCCCUAUUACCUGACCUGAUGUGAAUUAAUUAGUAGAUUCAACUUACUUUUCGUAAUUUGCACUUAUUUCAGGGAGUAGAACGAAAAUGUGAUAACAGGUGCCAAUUUGACAGAAACGAAGUCCAGAUGAUAAAGAUGGUCCCGGGGGCGUUUUUGGAAAGAGGAGAUAUCACG
rnacentral:lncRNA from 1 species